GUAGGGGGCAAGCGUUGUCCGGAUUUAUUGGGCGUAAAGAGCUCGUAGGCGGUUGCGUAAGUCGGACGUGAAAACUCAGGGCUCAACCCUGAGAUGCCGUUCGAUACUGCGCUGACUAGAGUCCGGUAGGGGAGCAUGGAAUUCCUGGUGUAGCGGUGAAAUGCGCAGAUAUCAGGAGGAACACCAGUGGCGAAGGCGGUGCUCUGGGCCGGAACUGACGCUGAGGAGCGAAAGCAUGGGGGUAGCAAACAGGAUUAGAUACCCUGGUAGUCCACGCCGUAAACGUUGGGCACUAGGUGUGGGACCUACUUAACGGGUUCCCGUGCCGUAGCUAACGCAUUAAGUGCCCCCGCCUGGGGAUACGGCCGCAAGGCUA
rnacentral:rRNA from 1 species